rnacentral:rRNA from 1 species
CCUUGAAAUACCACCUGAACCGUGUUAGGUGUCUAACGCUGUCCCGUGAAUCCGGGCGGCGGACAAUGUCAGUUGGGCAGUUUGACUGGGGCGGUCUCCUCCAAAGUGUAACGGAGGAGCUCAAAGGUACCCUCAGCCUGGUUGGCAAUCAGGCGAAGAGCGUAAAGGUAGAAGGGUGCUUGACUGCGAGACAAAUAAGUCGAGCAGAAACGAAAGUUGGACUUAGUGAUCCGGCGGUUCCGAAUGGAAAGGGCCGUCGCUCAACAGAUAAAAGGUACUCUGGGGAUAACAGGCUGAUCCCGCCCGAGCGUCCAUAGCGGCGGCGGGGUUUGGCACCUCGAUGUCGGCUCAUCACAUCCUGGGGGUGAAGAAGCUCCCAAGGGUUCGGCUGUUCGCCGAUUAAAGUGGUACGUGAGCUGGGUUUAAACCGUCGUGAGACAGGUUGGUCCCCUAUCUGCUGUGGGCGUACGAAACUUGAGGGGU